GUGAGGAAUAUUGGACAAUGGAUGGAAAUCUGAUCCAGCCAUGCCGCGUGCAGGAAGACGGCCCUAUGGGUUGUAAACUGCUUUUAUACGGGAGCAAUAAGGUCUAUGCAUAGAUUGAUGAGAGUACCGUAUGAAUAAGCAUCGGCUAACUCCGUGCCAGCAGCCGCGGUAAUACGGAGGAUGCGAGCGUUAUCCGGAUGUAUUGGGUUUAAAGGGUGCGUAGGCGGCUUUGUAAGUCAGCGGUGAAAUUUUGCAGCUUAACUGUAAAAGCGCCGUUGAUACUGUGAAGCUAGGAUUUGGUUGCUGUGGGCGGAAUGUGUGGUGUAGCGGUGAAAUGCAUAGAGAUCACACAGAAUAUCGAUUGCGAAGGCAGCUCACAAAGCCAAUAUUGACGCUGAGGCACGAAAGUGUGGGGAUCAAACAGGAUUAGAAACCCGUGUAGUCC
rnacentral:rRNA from 1 species